UAGUCCACGCCGUAAACGAUGUCUACUUGGAGGUUGUGGCCUUGAGCCGUGGCUUUCGGAGCUAACGCGUUAAGUUAACCACCUGGGGAGUACGCCCGCAAGGGUGAAACUCAAAGGAAUUGACGGGGGCCCGCACAAGCGGAGGAGCAUGUGGUUUAAUUCGAUGAUACGCGAGGAACCUUACCUGAACUUAAAUGGCGGACGACGGUCGCAGAAAUGUGACUUUCUUUUAGACGUCCAUCAAGGUGCUGCAUGGUUGUCGUCAGCUCGUGCCGUGAGGUGUUGGGUUAAGUCCCGCAACGAGCGCAACCCCUAUCGUUAGUUGCCAUCAGUUAGGCUGGGGACUCUAACGAGACUGCCUGCGCAAGCAGAGAGGAAGGCGGGGAUGACGUCAAAUCAUCAUGGGCCCUUACGUUCAGGGGCUACACACGUGCUACAAUGGGCAGGUACAAUGGGCGGCUACCACGCAAGUGGAUGCUAAUCUC
rnacentral:rRNA from 1 species